CCGCGGGAUUAGAGUUUGAUCCUGGCUCAGAGCGAACGCUGGCGGCAGGCCUAACACAUGCAAGUCGAACGAACUCUUCGGAGUUAGUGGCGGACGGGUGAGUAACACGUGGGAACGUGCCUUUAGGUUCGGAAUAACUCAGGGAAACUUGUGCUAAUACCGAAUGUGCCCUUCGGGGGAAAGAUUUAUCGCCUUUAGAGCGGCCCGCGUCUGAUUAGCUAGUUGGUGAGGUAAAGGCUCACCAAGGCGACGAUCAGUAGCUGGUCUGAGAGGAUGAUCAGCCACAUUGGGACUGAGACACGGCCCAAACUCCUACGGGAGGCAGCAGUGGGGAAUCUUGCGCAAUGGGCGAAAGCCUGACGCAGCCAUGCCGCGUGAAUGAUGAAGGUCUUAGGAUUGUAAAAUUCUUUCACCGGGGACGAUAAUGACGGUACCCGGAGAAGAAGCCCCGGCUAACUUCGUGCCAGCAGCCGCGGUAAUACGAAGGGGGCUAGCGUUGCUCGGAAUUACUGGGCGUAAAGGGAGCGUAGGCGGACAUUUAAGUCAGGGGUGAAAUCCCGGGGCUCAACCUCGGAAUUGCCUUUGAUACUGGGUGUCUUGAGUAUGAGAGAGGUGUGUGGAACUCCGAGUGUAGAGGUGAAAUUCGUAGAUAUUCGGAAGAACACCAGUGGCGAAGGCGACACACUGGCUCAUUACUGACGCUGAGGCUCGAAAGCGUGGGGAGCAAACAGGAUUAGAUACCCUGGUAGUCCACGCCGUAAACGAUGAUUGCUAGUUGUCGGGAUGCAUGCAUUUCGGUGACGCAGCUAACGCAUUAGGCAAUCCGCCUGGGGAGUACGGUCGCAAGAU
rnacentral:rRNA from 1 species